GGGUUGUGAGGUUAAGCGACUAAGCGUACACGGUGGAUGCCCUGGCAGUCAGAGGCGAUGAAGGACGUGCUAAUCUGCGAUAAGCGUCGGUAAGGUGAUAUGAACCGUUAUAACCGGCGAUUUCCGAAUGGGGAAACCCAGUGUGUUUCGACACACUAUCAUUAACUGAAUCCAUAGGUUAAUGAGGCGAACCGGGGGAACUGAAACAUCUAAGUACCCCGAGGAAAAGAAAUCAACCGAGAUUCCCCCAGUAGCGGCGAGCGAACGGGGAGCAGCCCAGAGCCUGAAUCAGUGUGUGUGUUAGUGGAAGCGUCUGGAAAGGCGCGCGAUACAGGGUGACAGCCCCGUACACAAAAAUACACAUAUUGUGAGCUCGAUGAGUAGGGCGGGACACGUGGUAUCCUGUCUGAAUAUGGGGGGACCAUCCUCCAAGGCUAAAUACUCCUGACUGACCGAUAGUGAACCAGUACCGUGAGGGAAAGGCGAAAAGAACCCCGGCGAGGGGAGUGAAAAAGAACCUGAAACCGUGUACGUACAAGCAGUGGGAGCACGCUUAGGCGUGUGACUGCGUACCUUUUGUAUAAUGGGUCAGCGACUUAUAUUCUGUAGCAAGGUUAACCGAAUAGGGGAGCCGAAGGGAAACCGAGUCUUAACUGGGCGUUAAGUUGCAGGGUAUAGACCCGAAACCCGGUGAUCUAGCCAUGGGCAGGUUGAAGGUUGGGUAACACUAACUGGAGGACCGAACCGACUAAUGUUGAAAAAUUAGCGGAUGACUUGUGGCUGGGGGUGAAAGGCCAAUCAAACCGGGAGAUAGCUGGUUCUCCCCGAAAGCUAUUUAGGUAGCGCCUCGUGAAUUCAUCUCCGGGGGUAGAGCACUGUUUCGGCAAGGGGGUCAUCCCGACUUACCAACCCGAUGCAAACUGCGAAUACCGGAGAAUGUUAUCACGGGAGACACACGGCGGGUGCUAACGUCCGUCGUGAAGAGGGAAACAACCCAGACCGCCAGCUAAGGUCCCAAAGUCAUGGUUAAGUGGGAAACGAUGUGGGAAGGCCCAGACAGCCAGGAUGUUGGCUUAGAAGCAGCCAUCAUUUAAAGAAAGCGUAAUAGCUCACUGGUCGAGUCGGCCUGCGCGGAAGAUGUAACGGGGCUAAACCAUGCACCGAAGCUGCGGCAGCGACACUAUGUGUUGUUGGGUAGGGGAGCGUUCUGUAAGCCUGCGAAGGUGUACUGUGAGGUAUGCUGGAGGUAUCAGAAGUGCGAAUGCUGACAUAAGUAACGAUAAAGCGGGUGAAAAGCCCGCUCGCCGGAAGACCAAGGGUUCCUGUCCAACGUUAAUCGGGGCAGGGUGAGUCGACCCCUAAGGCGAGGCCGAAAGGCGUAGUCGAUGGGAAACAGGUUAAUAUUCCUGUACUUGGUGUUACUGCGAAGGGGGGACGGAGAAGGCUAUGUUGGCCGGGCGACGGUUGUCCCGGUUUAAGCGUGUAGGCUGGUUUUCCAGGCAAAUCCGGAAAAUCAAGGCUGAGGCGUGAUGACGAGGCACUACGGUGCUGAAGCAACAAAUGCCCUGCUUCCAGGAAAAGCCUCUAAGCAUCAGGUAACAUCAAAUCGUACCCCAAACCGACACAGGUGGUCAGGUAGAGAAUACCAAGGCGCUUGAGAGAACUCGGGUGAAGGAACUAGGCAAAAUGGUGCCGUAACUUCGGGAGAAGGCACGCUGAUAUGUAGGUGAAGCGACUUGCUCGUGGAGCUGAAAUCAGUCGAAGAUACCAGCUGGCUGCAACUGUUUAUUAAAAACACAGCACUGUGCAAACACGAAAGUGGACGUAUACGGUGUGACGCCUGCCCGGUGCCGGAAGGUUAAUUGAUGGGGUCAGCGCAAGCGAAGCUCUUGAUCGAAGCCCCGGUAAACGGCGGCCGUAACUAUAACGGUCCUAAGGUAGCGAAAUUCCUUGUCGGGUAAGUUCCGACCUGCACGAAUGGCGUAAUGAUGGCCAGGCUGUCUCCACCCGAGACUCAGUGAAAUUGAACUCGCUGUGAAGAUGCAGUGUACCCGCGGCAAGACGGAAAGACCCCGUGAACCUUUACUAUAGCUUGACACUGAACAUUGAGCCUUGAUGUGUAGGAUAGGUGGGAGGCUUAGAAGUGUGGACGCCAGUCUGCAUGGAGCCGACCUUGAAAUACCACCCUUUAAUGUUUGAUGUUCUAACGUUGACCCGUAAUCCGGGUUGCGGACAGUGUCUGGUGGGUAGUUUGACUGGGGCGGUCUCCUCCUAAAGAGUAACGGAGGAGCACGAAGGUUGGCUAAUCCUGGUCGGACAUCAGGAGGUUAGUGCAAUGGCAUAAGCCAGCUUGACUGCGAGCGUGACGGCGCGAGCAGGUGCGAAAGCAGGUCAUAGUGAUCCGGUGGUUCUGAAUGGAAGGGCCAUCGCUCAACGGAUAAAAGGUACUCCGGGGAUAACAGGCUGAUACCGCCCAAGAGUUCAUAUCGACGGCGGUGUUUGGCACCUCGAUGUCGGCUCAUCACAUCCUGGGGCUGAAGUAGGUCCCAAGGGUAUGGCUGUUCGCCAUUUAAAGUGGUACGCGAGCUGGGUUUAGAACGUCGUGAGACAGUUCGGUCCCUAUCUGCCGUGGGCGCUGGAGAACUGAGGGGGGCUGCUCCUAGUACGAGAGGACCGGAGUGGACGCAUCACUGGUGUUCGGGUUGUCAUGCCAAUGGCACUGCCCGGUAGCUAAAUGCGGAAGAGAUAAGUGCUGAAAGCAUCUAAGCACGAAACUUGCCCCGAGAUGAGUUCUCCCUGACCCUUUAAGGGUCCUGAAGGAACGUUGAAGACGACGACGUUGAUAGGCCGGGUGUGUAAGCGCAGCGAUGCGUUGAGCUAACCGGUACUAAUGAACCGUGAGGCUUAACCUUACAACGCCGAAGCUGUU
rnacentral:rRNA from 1 species